AUGUUGACAGACUUGGAGUCCUGUCCUGAUUUCUUGUACUUGUUUGGGCACUUUGUUGGCCUAAUGUUCAACCGAACCACAAGUAGAGCAGCCCUCUUCCUUCUUGUUCUUCUUGAAGGUCUUCUUACCCUUCUUCUUAAAGUCGGUAUUGUGUUGGACACCGUUCUUUCCCUUGGGCUUGUGGGAAUUGAAGUUCUUCUGGUUCACCAUGUUGGCGACAGAAGUCCCUUCGGCCCCUUUUCCGUGCGAGUCUUUUGCCCUCGAAUUCUGCUCAACACUCAGAUGGCCAAUGACAUCCUCCACAGAGAAUUCACGCCUCUGAUGUUUCAGAGUGGUGGCAAAGUUCCUCCAGGAAUUAGGGAGCUUAGCGAUUAUGCAGCCCGCGACAAACUUGCCCGGUAA
rnacentral:rRNA from 1 species